AUAUUUACCUGACACGGGGAAAUCCGUGAUCAAAUAGGCGGUUCCCGCAAAGCGAAGUUCCGCCGUUGCACUGCGGUCCAUUUGACUAUACUAACUCUGUAUCUCUGGCGGUAACUCUGGCGCUUAAUUUUUGGUAGUGGAAUGUGAGUGAUAAAAAUGUUAAUCUU